rnacentral:rRNA from 1 species
UACAGAGGUCUCAAGCGUUGUUCGGAUUCAUUGGGCGUAAAGGGUGCGUAGGUGGUGAUGCAAGUCUGGUGUGAAAUCUCGGAGCUUAACUCCGAAAUUGCACCGGAUACUGCGUUGCUCGAGGACUGUAGAGGAGAUCGGAAUUCACGGUGUAGCAGUGAAAUGCGUAGAUAUCGUGAGGAAGACCAGUUGCGAAGGCGAUUCUCUGGGCAAUUCCUGACACUGAGGCACGAAGGCCAGGGGAGCAAACGGG